rnacentral:rRNA from 1 species
UACGGAGGAUCCGAGCGUUAUCCGGAUUUAUUGGGUUUAAAGGGAGCGUAGGCGGGUUGUUAAGUCAGUUGUGAAAGUUUGCGGCUCAACCGUAAAAUUGCAGUUGAUACUGGCAUCCUUGAGUACAGUAGAAGUAGGCGGAAUUCGUGGUGUAGCGGUGAAAUGCUUAGAUAUCACGAAGAACUCCGAUUGCGAAGGCAGCCUGCUGGACUGUAACUGACGCUGAUGCCCGAAAGUGUGGGUAUCAAACAGG